CUGCAUUCCCUCCCCCUCUUGGGUACCAGGCGGCGCUCCCGGGCGCUGGCGGCGGAAGAGAUGGAGCAGCGUCACGAGCGCCCGGCCCCUUAAAACGCUGCUGGCUGGAGCCGCCUCCCUCCCUGCAGCCCGCGGCGGGGAUGGAGUGAAGGGAGACCCGGCGACCUGCCCGCUGGGAUCAGCGAUGGAGUUAAAGCAAUCUUUGUCCACCCACUUGGAAGCCGAGAAGCCUCUGAGGCGCUAUGGAGCAGUGGAAGAGACGGCGUGGAAAGCGGAGGGACUGGGGAGAAGUCAGCUGGACAUCAUCUCCAUGGCAGAGACAACCAUGAUGCCGGAGGAGAUUGAGUUGGAGAUGGCGAAGAUCCAGCGUCUCCGGGAAGUCUUGGUCCGGCGGGAGUCGGAGCUCAGGUUCAUGAUGGACGACAUCCAGCUCUGCAAGGACAUCAUGGACUUGAAGCAGGAGCUGCAGAACUUGGUCGCCAUCCCAGAAAAAGAGAAAACCAAGAUGCAGAAGCAGAGAGAGGAUGAGCUCAUCCAGAAGAUUCACAAACUGGUGCAGAAGAGGGACUUCCUGGUGGACGACGCCGAGGUUGAGAGGUUAAGAGAGCAAGAAGAAGACAAGGAAAUGGCCGAUUUCCUGAGAAUCAAGUUAAAAUCUCUAGACAAAGUAACCAAAUCUUCAGCCAUCACAAAAUACUGAGUACCAAGGCCCUGUGGCUAGACUUGGGAUAUACAAUGGUGAAGAAAACUGACUAGGAAAAGGGCAGAAGCUCUGGAUGAAAGCUGAGACCUGCAAGCUGAUUUGCGGUACCACCUGAUAACCAACUCCGCCCCGCUCACUGUACCCUGCCUUCCCCUGACGUCACCAAGGGCUCCGUAAACAUACACUGACUGAGCCAGCUCCUGCAUGUGCCAGCAGGUAUCCAGCCAUUUCUUCACUCUCGGGCACUGAGACUGCUGCUAACUUUCUGGUAUCACAAACAACGUCACGACACGCAUCCUGGGGAGAUAAAGCUUCAUCCGAUUUCCUGAUUUUCCCCCUAAGAGAAACUCCUAGAAGUAAAGUGUUGGGUUGUUCAUAUGAUAGCAUUUUCAAAAUAUUUCUAAAUCACAAAGAAAUCCAGAUGUCUGUCACAGGUGCGCAGCAGCUUUGGGGCUGACCCCAAGUAUCUCAUAGAGAUACGUGGCUCCCUCCUCCUCUGCCUCAGAUACGCUCCUGCUUAAGGGCAGGCUUGGCCUGCAUGCCACUUUCUGCCAUUCUGACCAGUCAGAGCCACCAUGGUGGCCGCAGGGUCACCGUGUCCUCCUUUACUGCAAACCACCAAACACGAACCAGACUGUGGGAGUGUCCUGGGGCUGCCACUACAGAUCACCUCACACCACAACUGCAUCUGCGCGUGCGGCAGGAGGGGAGAAGUCUGAAGCCAAGGGUGCAGUGGUCAGCCGCCGCCCCUGACACCAGCGUGCCCCGUGAGCACUGCUUCCCAUCCAGCUCCUUGCUCAUGUGCCUGGGAAGGCAGCGAAUGCUGGCCCCACCCAUGUGGUGGACCUGAAUGGAGUUCCUGACUCCUGGCCCAGUCCUGCCUGUUGUGGUUGUGGCCAUCUGGGGAGUGUACCAGCAGAUGGAAGGAUGGAAGAGCUGCCACUCUGCCUUUCAAAUAAAUAAAUCAAUCUUAAAAAAAAAAAAAAAAAAAAAAAAAAGGAAGUCUGCAGUCAAGGCGCUGCAAGGCCAGAGUGGUCAGGAAGAACCCUGCUGCCUCUCCAGCUCCUGUCACCCCUGGCAGUCCUCUGUCUUCCCAGUCUCUAACUCCAUCUUCACACAUCCCUCCCCCCCGGGCACAUGUUCCUGCGCCUCCCCUCAUCUUACAAGAGCCCACCCUAAUCCCGCACAAUUUAAUGUCUUUUUUUUUUUUUUGAAGAACAAAUAACAUUUACUAUUCACAGACAAUAUGAGUGUGAUGAAGAAAAUCCAAAAUAAUCUGCAGAUAAAAAUUAUAAUUUUGAAUUGAAUUUAAUAAGUUUACUGUUAACAAGGUCAACAUAAAAUCAGUAAUACCCCCUAUACUGCACUGUCAGUUAAAUGGAAAACUGAAUUUAAAAAGAGACAUUUGCAUUUCAUUUUAAAAAAUGAAAAAUACUAAAAGAUAAAUGCAGCUUAAAACAAAUAUUACAGUACGGAAAUUCGGGAAGAGAUGAAUAGCAGUGGGAGUGGUAAAUACUAGAAAAAUUAUGAGUAUAUUGUUUUUAUAAAAGAAUAUUUGAAAUAAUAGAUGAACAAGUUAGAAUUUGAGUGAAAUUGCUAUGCAAAAGUAUUAAUGUUAAUUCAAGGAGAAGUGUGAAAAGUUAAGGAUACCUAUUAUUAUCCUGAGGGCAACUAUUAAAAAUAGCCAAUAAAAGAGACAAAGAAGGCCAGCUAAGCCACCGCUUGUGGCACAGGCAUCCCACAUGGGCACCAGUUCAGGCCCGGGCUGCACCUCCUCCCAUCCGGCUCUCUGCCUAUGGCCUGGGAAAGCAGCGGAAGACGACUCAAGUGCGUGGGUCCCCACACCCCCAUGAGAGACCCAGAAGAAGCUCCCGGCCCCUGGCUCUUGGUUCUUGGCUCCUGGCUCCAGAUCGGCCCAGCUCCAGCCCCCUCGGCCACCUGGGGAGUGAACCAGUGAAGGAAAGACCUUCCUGCCUGUCUCUGUCUCUGUCUGUCUGUCUCUCGGUGAGUCUGCCUCCCAAAUAAAUCAGUAAAAUGAUUUAAUCUUAAUCCUACCUUAACUGCUUCUGCUAAGAGCCUAUUUUCAGGGAAUUUGGAGGAGGGCAGGGACACUGUUACCUCACUGCAGACCCUUCCCAGUGUCGCCCAGCCACUCUCUCGUCCCCGUAGAAAACACGGUUGACCUCAGACCAGUUAUACAGCACUCACUCCCUGAUCCAACAAGCCAAAGGAUAAAAAUCCUGCCCCUAGGGCUUCUGCCAAGCCCUAAGUAGACCUACCUAAUGUGCCUGCUACUCCCAUUGACUUCGUAGAAAACAAAGGCUUUUUUUUUUUUUGACAGGCAGAGUGGACAGUGAGAGAAAGAGAGAGAGAGAAAGGUCUUCCUUUUCCAUUGGUUCACCCUCCAAUGGCCGCCACGGCUGGCGCGCUGCGGCCAGCGCAUCGCGCUGAUCCGAAGCCAGGAGCCAGGUGCUUCUCCUGGUCUCCCAUGGGGUGCAGGGCCCAAGGACUUGGGCCAUCCUCCACUGCACUCCCUGGCCAUAGCAGAGAGCUGGCCUGGAAGAGGGGCAACCGGGACAGAAUCCAGCACCCCGACUGGUACUAGAACCUGGUGUGCCGGCGCCACAAGGCGGAGGAUUAGCCUAGUGAGCCACAGCACUGGCCAAGACAGGCUUUUUACUGGAGAAGAGAAGCAAGCAGUAACUGAAGAUGCUCCCGGAUCACCAGGGCUGCCUGCCACACUGGGAAACCUUGCAGACUGCGGGGUCCUCCUCACCCAGACUCGCUCUUUCUGGAAGCCACGGGAAAGGAUGACAACAGACAGCACACUGAUCACUGUGCACUGAACAGCGCACUCACAUCAGCCUGACAAGGCAGAGGCUCCUGUAAACCCCACCUGGCACGGCCAGAGUCCCAUGUGUUGGUGGCUCCUCUCCCCCGCAGCCUCCAAAAUCUUUCUCUUCAGUUCAGCAUGUAAGCACCUCCCCACCUGCAAAACCCAGCAAAGACAGAACCCCGUGCAGUUCCGCCAUCCCUCUUAGCUGGUAGCCACCGCCUUUCUCUGCGUCUUCCGAGCCUUUCCUCUUUAGACUUGGCCCAAAUCUUAUUUUAUUUUUUUUAAUUUUUGCCAGGCAGAGUGGACAGUGCGAGAGAGAGACAGAGAGAAAGGUUUUCCUUUGCCGUUGGUUCACCCUCCAAUGGCCGCUGUGUCCAGCGCACUGCACUGAUCCGAAGGCAGGAGCCAGGUGCUUCUCCUGAUCUCCCAUGGGGUGCAGGGCCCAAGUAUUUGGGCCAUCCUCCACUGCACUCCCGGACCACAGCAGAGAGCUGGCCUGGAAGAGGGGCAACCGGGACAGAAUCCGGUGCCCCGACCGGGACUAGAACCUGGUGUGCCGGCGCUGCAAGGUGGAGGAUUAGCCUAGUGAGCCGCAGCGCCGGCCUCAAGUCUAUUUUAAUCUGGUCUCUGUCACUCUCAUGACUCCUCUCACCAGGAGUGCAUCCCUCUGCUUACAUCUGGGGGAUGCACAUCCGCCCUCGCACUCUGCAGCCCUGACAGGGACUCAGGCCUCAUUUAACAGCCAAGACGCUGCGCUCUGGGUGUGCAUCCUACAGCCCAGCAGCCCCUGCCCAGUCUCCUUUUACCCUUCCUCCUCCUGACAGCCUGGCCCUUGGCACUCUGUUCUCUUCUCUCUACUGAUCUCAUCCGCUCUGUGCACAUCUUGGAGGACCAUCAAUACUGACCGGUCCCCACGUUCUCUCAUAGGCUGACCUCUCUCCUAAGCUCAGAUUCCGUUUCCUGAGGAGGGAGUCCUUUAGAUCUACAGAAGGCACAUUAAACUUAACAGUCCUAAGCCAGGGACUUAGGGCAGGGUAUUGCCAGAGGGCCAAAUUCCACCUGCCAUCUGCUUUUGCAAAUCAAGUUUUAUUGGACUACAGCCCCACUCAUUCACAUACUGCCCAUGGCUGAUUCUUUUAUUUAAUUACUUAUUUAUGUGAGAGCCAGGCAGAGGCAAGGGACAGUGCCUCCUCUCAUCUGCAUGUAGAGCUUUAGGCUGAGAGCCAUGCCCUCACAUGGUUUAAAAGCCCCUCUGAUCUGGCUCCUCCGAUGCCCUGCGCCCCUCUUGCCCCCUCUCCUGGGACCUCUGAAGUCUCCUCUGGGCUCGCUGGUUCUGCUCAUCGUGCUCUCUGCUGGGCUUGGUGUGUGUGACUCCCCCUGCCAAGAACACCUCGCUUUCCUGCCAGACUUUGUUCCCUGCUCUCCCAGUCUCUCCUUGCGCUGCUGUGACGCCUAAGGGAAACCAAGCAUGGCUGCUUCUCAGGUUACAGCUCUACUGCCCCCUCCGCCCCCCAACCCACCCAUCUUCAGAGUCCAGCCUUGGGUCCUGGCCUGCUUUCCAAAGCCCCAUGCGGCCCAGCCCCUGUGGCGCUUCCCGCGUUGCACCUGUACUCACACCAACACUUAGAACAGAAGGCAAACUCGAGUCGGAGCAGUCUGGGAGGAAGGCCAGCGAGGCAGUGUCGUCGCGCCAAGGAGGGUGUGUCGCACGGCAUCCAGCUUUGCCCGGAGACCAUGUGACCUUAAGGACUUUAUGAGUGGUGCCCAAGGACUCUGCAGUGGGAUAUGGUUGGUGCCGAUGGAUCGAGCAAAGAACUGGCACCGACACUGGAUGCAUCGGAAGGGGCAGUGCUCCCCAUGGCUCCCCUGUGAGAGGAGAUGUGAGUAGCUCCAAGUCACACAGCAGGCAGGCCUGGAGCCAGGCCCAGGGAACAGAGGCCUUGCGCUGUCUGCGGAACUGGGCUUCGACUUCACAGGUGUGACUGCAGCCCCAUCAGUACCCUUAUUCCCUGUUGAGCAUGAAGGACUGGAGGUGACUUGUGGCCGCAGCAGUAGCAGAGCCUCUUUUAAAAGCUCCGAGUUCCGGGGUGGCCCUGAGCACAGGGCUGCACUGCAGCGUGCGUGAGGGCACCAGCCAGGGCUCAGAGGCCUGCCACCUGUGGUGCAGUGCCUGGGUGUCGGGCCCAGGCAGAGCACCCAGGCAAGCUGGCGUGAGAACAAACGUCACGUUUCUACCCUUGAACGUGCUUGUUCAUUCUAGUUAACGCCACACGUGGCAGCGAUAAGGGAACAUGGAGAUUGCAGCCCUUGUGCAGCCUUCAUUCCGGGGAGAGUCAGAGACCUUCACCUGCCUCCCCACGGCCACGGCCACGGCCUCCCUCUCCCCUGCCAUGCUGACAGGGCACACAGGCCCCCGUUCUCCACUCACCACAGAAACCAAGCUGCACAAGGCCCCGGGUUGUGACAUCACCUUCCAGAAGGCCCAGGGAGCUGGGAGCCACACACAGACGGAGGCUUCCCCCAGCUCUGCUGCCCGCCAUCCCAGCACUCACCUACCUUAUGCCUCCAUCAUGAACUAACUUCCUGCUUCAUUACAACAAGGCAGCUCUCUGUGUGAACCCCAACCCACCCCUCUGCAUGCUGCCCAUCAGCUCCAUGGCUCCGUCUCCACUGCGGCCGCAGCCCUGCAGGGUAGGAGGGAAGAUUUCUCUCCCUCCUGAUAGAACGUGGCUGGUGGCCCUUCCUCCCACAGGCACAGCUGCUGCAUCAGGUUUGGGCGUCAUGAACAAUUGUUUUCCUCCGUCCUGCAGAGAGGGCGUGGGCCCAGAGCCGGGGGAGUGGGGAGGGGACAUCUCUUGGGAGUCUGCGCUGGCAGCGGCAGGUGCUGGGGGAGAUGUGGCUGGGGUAGCGCGGUGGGGCUCGCCCUGCUGCAGGCUCUGUGACCUGCCCGCCUCAGCCUGGGGCAUGGUAGCUCUCGGCACUGGGUGCCUCAGUCACCAAAACACAAGCCAAGCAAGCAGGGAAUGAAGAGGGGGCAUUUCUCACUCCUGGGCUGGGGUGUCUUGAAAUCGGGUGACACCGGAAGUCCAAACAAUGCCCUCUGGACUCAGUGCCUCUCCAUGCUGCCACCUCUGGCUCUGUUCCCUGGCAAAAUCUUGUAUGGCCACGGCAACAGCACCUGGCUUACUUCCUCCCAGGGGCACAAUCCAGCAAAUCCAGCAAACAUCCUGGCUUGCAGCACGUGCCCAGCCCAGGGCCGUGCUGGGCCAGAGGGGUGCAGUUCUCUGCCCUGGCCCCACUGGGGUCCUCAGGCUGACCCUGGUUCUUGUGCUGCAAGAGAAGAGAAUGGAUCUAAGUAGCUAAAACCACAGUCUACUGCCUUUUAGAGAAUAAAAAGUAGGAUUUCAGAGACAGGAACUUGCUUAGGGCCACACAGCAGGUUUACCGAAGCCAGGGCAGAAUUCAGAACCCCAGCCUGGUUCAGUGCUCUGCACCCCCUUCUCUGAUACCCAGCCCAGCCCCAAAGGCAGCCCCCACUUGCCCUAGGAAGUUUCAUCAGCACACUCUGAUGAAACUGCCAGUCCAAGGGGGUCCCCUGCAUGCUCUGGACUGGGUCCAGCCAAGGGCCGUUUGUGCAGGUUCUGACAGCAACUGUUGACCUACGUGAACCCACUUGGGUCUGUGGCUUCAGGCUCCUGGGUGAUGCCUGUCAGCUAGCUCUGACCCCUCAAUGCCCCAGUGCUGGUCUCAAUCUCCAGGGAACACGUGGGAGCCUGCUCAACAAUUUUAACAUCCUUUUUAAAUGUUGAAAUAGGGAGCUGGUGCUGUGGCUUGGUAGGCCAAGCCUCCGCCUGCAGCACCGGCAUCCCAUAUGGGUGCUAGUUUGUGUCCUGGCUGUACCUCUUCAAUCCAGCUCUCUGCUAUGGCCUGGGAAAGCAGCAGCAGAUGGCCCAAGUUCUUGGGGCCCUGCACCCGCAAGGGAGACCCAAAGGAAGCUCUUGGCUCCUGGCUUCAGAUCAGCCCAGGGGAUGGAAGACCUUUCUGUCUCUCCCUCUUUCUAACUCUGCCUCUCAAAUAAAUAAAUAAAAUCAUUUAAACAAUGUUGAAACAGUUUUGGAACUUACAGAAGAGUAUUUCUAGAGUCCCGUGCUGCAUAAUGAAAUUUCGGUCAAUGACAAACCAUAUACACGUGGUCGUCCCUUCAUAUAGCGUCUAGUGACCCGGCAGCACCCCUGCAUGCGUCAGCACACUCUGAUGAAACUGCCCAGAGACCUCUCUCAGACUGUGUCCCUGUUAAGAGACACAUGAGCAUAUAAAACCCUGCAAAGAAUCCCCGUGUAUCCUUCCUUUCACCCAAAUUCAGUGACAGCCUUUCGCUACACUUACUUGAUCACUUUUUCCGUACGCAAGGAUACCUUGAAAUGUUUGUGGAGAAAUGGAAUUAAGAUAUGUUUAGAGGCAGGUGUCUGAUGUAUCGAUUAAGACGCCACUAGGGAUACCUGGAGCCCGUAUCAAAGUGCUAGGUGUGAGUCCUGCCUCUGUUGCUGCUCCAGCUUCCCGCCAAUGCGCACCCUGAGGUCGGAAUCUUUCCAUGUGAUGGCUGGAGUAACUGGGGGCCUGCCACACACCUGGAUGGAGUCCCAGCUCUCCGCUUCUUCCCGGCCCGGCCCAGCCCGGCUGUUGUGGGCAUAUGUGGAGUGACCCAGCAUAUGGCUUUUCAAAUAAAUAAAAACAUAAAUGAAUUGUGGUACCAAAGAAUUUUGAAAUCUACAAAUAGUUUUUGUAAUAUGUGAUUUCCAUGAACUUCUGAAGACCCCUAUUGCACAUGGAUUUCAAUUUUGUUUUCAGCAAAAUAAACAUAUUUUAAUUACACUUUUCCACAUUCUGAAGCCCCAUGAAGGUCCAGUUUUUUCUGGAAUGAUCUGACCCAGCUGUAGACCUCAUGUCCCUUCAGUGUGUAUGAAAGAGCCAGUGCAUUUUCUCUUAAUUAGGGAAGGACUGUCAAAUGCCACUGAUGGAAUUACUUAGCCCUGAGAUGGUGGGUGUCCGCUGUCCUGCUGGUGUCCGUCCGGGCAAUUCUGCCCUCCCCCAUCCAGGGGCUGGUUCACGCACAGGCUCUUUAGGUGCCCUCAAUCAGGACUGGCCCCUUGGCCUUCCUGUUUUGCAGGACACUGACAGUUCUGAGGAUGGCAGAGCCUGUUUCUUAAGUUCUGCUGCGGGAGGGUGUGAGUGGGCCCACAUCUUGCUCAUCCAGGUCCCCACACUUGGUUCUUGCCUAGCACCCAGGAGGGGCUCAAACCAAACCAAAACACUAGACUUAGCAGCUGUGUAGAUCAGGAUUUCCAGUGCCAGUCAGUCGCAAGGGCAAGGGCUGAACCCUCCAGCCUCACUUCCCCUUCUGCAACUCUUGGUGUGGGAGUGCAGGGCAGGUUAGACAAGGGGGUCCUCAAGGGUCCUUACAGCUUGGAAGCUCCAUUGCUGACUCUCCAAAGUUUGGCCUGGAACUCUUUUCUCCCCUUCUAGGAUCUGGUUUGACGUCUUUGGCUUCACAUGUCAGCCAUCCGUUCAUCGAUGCUUACCAAUCACCCGUGAGGCAGAACCUAUGAUUUGCUUCUGACACAUACAACAUGGCAGAGCACUGGCAAUCACUCUUUGAUUGGGUCACUUUAUGUAAGGCUCCUCUUGGAUUAGAGGUGAGAACCUAGCUUGGUGGACUCAAUGGUUCUUUGGUUUCUGUUUUAGUUUAAAAAAAAAAAAAAACUCAUUUGAAAGAUAGAGACACAUAGAGAUCUUUCAUCUUCUGGUUCACUCCCCAAAUGGCCACAAUGGCUGGAACUGGGCCAGGCUGAAGCCAGGAGCCUGGAAUGCCAUCCGGGUCUCCCACACGGGUAGUAAGGGCCCAAGCACUUGGCCCAUCUUCCACUGCUUUCCCAGGCACAUUAACAGGGAAUUGGAGUGGAAGUAGAGCAGCCAGGACUUGAACCAGUGCCAUAUGGGAUGUCAGCAUGGCAGGCUGUGGCUUAACCUGCUGUGCUACAAUGCUGGUCCUGCCAGUGUCAUUUUGGGGAAGUCCAUGUGGUAGGGGGACUCGGGCAACGUGUGCAGAGUGUACACAGCUUCUAGCCUCCAACCAGCAGAAAGCCGGGGCCCCCAGUCACACAUCCCCAGGGAAAUGAAUUCCGCCAGCACCCGAGUGAGUCUGGAAGUGGGUUCUGCCCAGUCGAGCCUCCAGAUGAGAAUGUAGCCCAACUGCCAUAUCCCGACUGACAGCCGAGCUUUGUGGCCUGCAGACCACUGAAACCACGGGAUAAUCAUGGCAUGUUCUUUGCGGUAAUUUGUCAUGCAGCAAACUAACAGAAGCUGCUACUACUUUAAGCCAGGCCCCAGAUCCUGGAGAUGUUCUAGUGAAUAAAAAGACCAUCCCUGUUCUCAUGAACCUGUUGCCUCACUGAGGGAAAUGACUGAACAAUCACGCACACACAUGUAUUCAACAGUAAACUGUAUUUAAAAAAAAAA